UUGGGAUCUUAUUAUUGCAGAAACAGAUUAUCCGUUGUUGAAUAAAUCAUUGAUAGCAAGUGACUGAAAAAAUAGAGUUGAGGACAAAGAUGCUCUAAAAUGCUACACAAUUCUCAGCUCCUAUAGACACCUAUAGCUUUGGUAACUGCCAGGAGAAUAAAGAUCAGGAAGAGCCAUAGUAAUCCUUCAGGCUGAAAAUCAAGAUGGAGGCCCCCCAUAAGCGGGUCCUAAGAGUCCCACUGCCUGUUACUGCCAAGAAUGAAGUCACUCAGUAGCAGACUCGCAGCUCCUUAUGCUUUGUGCAGCCAAGGCUGCUCCUUAGCAACCAAUGUCGACAACUGGGUUUCCAAGGAAACCAGAAAGCCCAAUUUAUAAAACUAUGAAACAAAGCAACUGUAAAGGCAACACUAGACACAGAAGAGUUGGAUGGAUGAGUCAUUUCCCCCAGACUGACGGCAUCAUGAAGGCCUGAAGGUGUCACCAACUCCUCUCCUCCAACAUCAGCUGAAAAGAUACAGUCCUCACUUAGACCACCCUCAGAGAGCACAGUUUGUAAAACUUAUGAAAAUGGAAGUUGUAGAAAGCACUAGAAGUUGCUAAAAUACUUUCAUAUGAAAAAGACUCAAAUCCACCCACUGGAUUAGACAAAAACCUGAGCUGAAUGAGCCCCAGCUAUCUACCUAGAACUUUAUCUUCAUUCCUCAUUUGUCUUCCUUGCUCCCGGUGGAGAGAAGGGGAUAUACAAAGAGAUGGCUGCAGUUAGAAAAAGGCAAUAGUUGCCUCAGAAACCCAGCUCCUGGUCCCUCCUCAGUUCAACUCCAGUUCCCACUUUGGUAGAUCAGCCUGUCGAACAAAUGGGAUGGCAUUCACUACACAAUGAUAAUUAAAAUUUAAAUGGCUAUAAGAAAACAAGUCCUCUACUGUUUAUUGGUGCCCAUACAAUCAUCAAAACAUAGGUACUGUAAAUCUUACAAAUGUGAC
rnacentral:lncRNA from 1 species